rnacentral:rRNA from 1 species
GUCUACUGCCAUGCCACCCUGAACACGCCCAAUCCCGUCUGAUCUCAGAAGCUAAGCAGGGUCAGGCCUCAUCAGUAGUUCGAUGGGAGACAACUUAGAAACACCGGGUGCUGUAGGCG